UUGAAGCGCAACCAUGAGUUUUCGUGUCCAACUUUGAUCGUCCGUCUUAUUUGAAUUUUUUUUAUAAAUAGUAUUUUAUGCAUGACUUAUGUUUUUUUAAUUUUCUUAAAAAAAUUUUAAAUAAGACAGAUGAUUAAAGUUGAACAUGGAAACUCGUGAUAGCGCUUAAA
rfam:Oryza glumipatula chromosome 7, whole genome shotgun sequence.